UACGUAGGGUGCAAGCGUUAAUCGGAAUUACUGGGCGUAAAAGCGUGCGCAGGCGGUGAUGUAAGACAGUUGUGAAAUCCCCCGGGCUCAACCUGGGAACUGCAUCUGUGACUGCAUCGCUGGAGUGCGGCAGAGGGGGAUGGAAUUCCGCGUGUAGCAGUGAAAUGCGUAGAUAUGCGGAGGAACACCGAUGGCGAAGGCAAUCCCCCGUGGGCCUGCACUGACGCUCAUGCACGAAAGCGUGGGGAGCAAACAGG
rnacentral:rRNA from 1 species